rnacentral:rRNA from 1 species
GGCGGAGGAUGCAAGUGUUAUCCGGAAUCACUGGGCGUAAAGCGUCUGUAGGUGGUUUAAUAAGUCAACUGUUAAAUCUUGAGGCUCAACCUCAAAAUCGCAGUCGAAACUAUUAGGCUAGAGUAUAGUAGGGGUAAAGGGAAUUUCCAGUGGAGCGGUGAAAUGCGUAGAGAUUGGAAAGAACACCGAUGGCGAAGGCACUUUACUGGGCUAUUACUAACACUCAGAGACGAAAGCUAGGGUAGCAAAUGGG